rnacentral:rRNA from 1 species
AGUUUGAUCCUGGCUCAGAAUGAAACCUGGCGGUGUGCCUAACACAUGCAAGUCAAACGACAAUUUAUUUGGAGUGGCGGACGGGUGAGUAACACGUAAGAACCUACCUUUAGGAGGGGGAUACCAUCCCGGGAAACUGGUGCUAAUACCCCAUAUGCUGAGAAGUGAAAUGGUAUUUAACCGCCUAGAGAGGGGCUUGCGGCUGAUUAGCUAGUUGGUGGGGUAAUGGCCUCCCAAGGCGACGAUCAGUAGCUGGUUUGAGAGGAUGAUCAGCCACACUGGGACUGAGACACGGCCCAGACUCCUACGGGAGGCAGCAGUGAGGAAUUUUCCGCAAUGGGCGAAAGCCUGACGGAGCAAUACCGCGUGGAGGAAAAAGAAGACCUGUGGGUUGUAAACUCCUUUUCUCAGAGAAGAAUACUGACGGUAUCUGAGGAAUAAGCACCGGCUAACUAUGUGCCAGCAGCCGCGGUAAUACAUGGGGUGCGAGGUUUAUUCGGAAUGAUUGGGCGUAAAGCGUUCGUA